AGUCGAACGCACAGCGAAAGGUGCUUGCACCUUUCAAGUGAGUGGCGAACGGGUGAGUAACACGUGGACAACCUGCCUCAAGGCUGGGGAUAACAUUUGGAAACAGAUGCUAAUACCGAAUAAAACUUAGUGUCGCAUGACAAAAAGUUAAAAGGCGCUUCGGCGUCACCUAGAGAUGGAUCCGCGGUGCAUUAGUUAGUUGGUGGGGUAAAGGCCUACCAAGACAAUGAUGCAUAGCCGAGUUGAGAGACUGAUCGGCCACAUUGGGACUGAGACACGGCCCAAACUCCUACGGGAGGCUGCAGUAGGGAAUCUUCCACAAUGGGCGAAAGCCUGAUGGAGCAACGCCGCGUGUGUGAUGAAGGCUUUCGGGUCGUAAAGCACUGUUGUAUGGGAAGAACAGCUAGAAUAGGAAAUGAUUUUAGUUUGACGGUACCAUACCAGAAAGGGACGGCUAAAUACGUGCCAGCAGCCGCGGUAAUACGUAUGUCCCGAGCGUUAUCCGGAUUUAUUGGGCGUAAAGCGAGCGCAGACGGUUUAUUAAGUCUGAUGUGAAAGCCCGGAGCUCAACUCCGGAAUGGCAUUGGAAACUGGUUAACUUGAGUGCAGUAGAGGUAAGUGGAACUCCAUGUGUAGCGGUGGAAUGCGUAGAUAUAUGGAAGAACACCAGUGGCGAAGGCGGCUUACUGGACUGCAACUGACGUUGAGGCUCGAAAGUGUGGGUAGCAAACAGGAUUAGAUACCCUGGUAGUCCACACCGUAAACGAUGAACACUAGGUGUUAGGAGGUUUCCGCCUCUUAGUGCCGAAGCUAACGCAUUAAGUGUUCCGCCUGGGGAGUACGACCGCAAGGUUGAAACUCAAAGGAAUUGACGGGGACCC
rnacentral:rRNA from 1 species